GGGGAAUAUUGCACAAUGGGCGCAAGCCUGAUGCAGCAACGCCGCGUGAGGGACGACGGCCUUCGGGUUGUAAACCUCUUUUAGUAGGGAAGAAGCGAAAGUGACGGUACCUGCAGAAAAAGCACCGGCUAACUACGUGCCAGCAGCCGCGGUAAUACGUAGGGUGCAAGCGUUAUCCGGAAUUAUUGGGCGUAAAGAGCUCGUAGGCGGUUUGUCGCGUCUGCUGUGAAAACUGGGGGCUCAACCCCCAGCCUGCAGUGGGUACGGGCAGACUAGAGUGCGGUAGGGGAGAUUGGAAUUCCUGGUGUAGCGGUGGAAUGCGCAGAUAUCAGGAGGAACACCGAUGGCGAAGGCAGAUCUCUGGGCCGUAACUGACGCUGAGGAGCGAAAGCAUGGGGAGCGAAC
rnacentral:rRNA from 1 species